AUUCCAGCUCCAAUAGCGUAUAUUAAAGUUGUUGCGGUUAAAAAGCUCGUAGUUGGAUUUCUGCCGAGGAUGACCGGUCCGCCCUGUGGGUGUGCAUCUGGCUCAGCCUUGGCAUCUUCCUGAAGAACGUAGCUGCACUUGACUGUGUGGUGCGGUAUUUAGGACAUUUACUUUGAGGAAAUUAGAGUGUUUCAAGCAAGCGCACGCUUUGAAUACAUUAGCAUGGAAUAAUAAGAUAGGACCUCGGUUCUAUUUUGUUGGUUUCUAGAGCUGAGGUAAUGAUUGAUAGGGAUAGUUGGGGGCAUUAGUACUUUGCCGUCAGAGGUGAAAUUCUCGGAUUUGCAAAAGACUAACUUAUGCGAAAGCAUUUGCCAAGGAUGUUUUCAUCA
rnacentral:rRNA from 1 species